rnacentral:rRNA from 1 species
AGUGAACGCUGGCGGUGGGCCUAACACAUGCAAGUCGAACGGCAGCACAGUAAGAGCUUGCUCUUACGGGUGGCGAGUGGCGGACGGGUGAGGAAUACAUCGGAAUCUACUUUUUCGUGGGGGAUAACGUAGGGAAACUUACGCUAAUACCGCAUACGACCUACGGGUGAAAGCAGGGGAUCUUCGGACCUUGCGCGAUUGAAUGAGCCGAUGUCGGAUUAGCUAGUUGGCGGGGUAAAGGCCCACCAAGGCGACGAUCCGUAGCUGGUCUGAGAGGAUGAUCAGCCACACUGGAACUGAGACACGGUCCAGACUCCUACGGGAGGCAGCAGUGGGGAAUAUUGGACAAUGGGCGCAAGCCUGAUCCAGCCAUACCGCGUGGGUGAAGAAGGCCUUCGGGUUGGAAAGCCCUUUUGUUGGGAAAGAAAAGCAGCAGGUUAAUACCCCGCUGUUCUGACGGUACCCAAAGAAUAAGCACCGGCUAACUUCG